rnacentral:lncRNA from 1 species
GACGGUAUAUAAGUUGUGCAUCCACAGGAGUUUUGCGGUCAUGGAAACGGACGGAUGGUGAGGAGUGCGCCGACCAUCGACAUGAACCCACACUCUAAUGUGCAAGCUAACUAGUCACACACAAACAAAUCGACCGGAUCAGAGGAGGCUCACAUUCGCAGUUGAGCGUCGCGCACGACCGGCUGCACGGCGCUUUCACGCGCCCGCGGAGCCGCCGGCCAGCACGAGGAGCACGGCCGUCGCCGUCGCCGUCGCCGGUUGGUGGUGGUGGUGGAGAUUGCUUGACGGGCCACACCUGUGAGCCACUCUUGGAGUUGGAGUUGGAGAAAGUGUUCCCAAAGCGGCCCAAGCCCGCCCCGUCCCGUGCGUGCUCCCAAAGGUCAAACCUUUUCCCCAAACCCCACCCACCCACGCGCGCACCACAAUGCCGGCGGCGG